rnacentral:piRNA from 1 species
UGCCAAACCUCGUGACUGUAAAGAUGAUA